CAAUUGUGGUGAUUGUGGUGAUGUAGAUAAACUUAACUUGAUGCUUUUAUAUCCAUCCUCUCAAAAGCAUCGUCACACCAGUACUGUCAGUACUUUGAUUCCCAUUCGACUGGUUUUGCUCUUGUAUAAAAUAAAACCACCUUAAACCUGCUGAAACAUGUUUCAAAUAAUGUAGGUUUCUUUCGGCGUUACUUUUCAAAAGGCUAUACAGUUUGAGUUAUUCAUCAUAGUUGGACUUGACUCUCGCUGGUGAAAGUUUUAAGUUAGUAAUCAUUUAAAGGUUACAACUAUUGAGUCUGAUAAAAACAAAAACACAUUUAUAUGUAAGGGAUUUGUUUGGUUCGCUUCGGAUUAUCGAAUACCCAAAAUAAUUUGUAAUGACGAAGCAAAGUGCGAGUGCAUAUGAGGUUGUUUUACAACAACAAAUGCAAGGAGUGAUGAUGGUGGGGACGUUGCAAGGACACAGAGACUGGCAUACGGGACUUUGCUCAUGCUGUCAGGACUGUAAAACACGGCUCUAUUUGCAAUGUCUGGUCAUGAACUGUUGUGGACCGUGUGCAUUGUGUCAGAUGAGGAGAGAACUGGACGCUAUGGGCUUAUGAACAUAUGUUGAAAAAUGAAUAUCUUUAUCCGGGUUAGAUUUUGCAAUUUCAGAAAAAGAAAUUUCCAAAGCUAUUUCAUCAGUUAAAAAAAAAAAUCUGCUGGUCUUGACUCUAUUAGUAAUGAAAUGAUAAAGGCUGGACAAAAUAGUCUUUUGCAAUCUUAUAAAAAAAGCUUUAAUUGUAUACUUUUAAGUGGUACAUCUGCAUGGAAAUCUGAUUCUAUGAAAAGGCAAUUCAUAAAGGUGGGUACCCUAAUGACCCUAAUAAUUAUAAAUGUAUAUCAGUUAUGCCAUGUCAUUCAAAAGUUUUCAAUUGUUUAUUGAAUAGCAGAUUGCAAAAAGUUUUCAGCCUCACUCAAGAACAUCUGAUCACAUGUGGAUUGUUCGAACUUUAAUUGAUAUUUUUUUUAGUAAGGGAGCUAAACUGAAUGCAUGUUUCGUUGACUUUUUCAAGGCUUUUGAUAAGGCUUUUACUCACUCCUUUCAUAUAAACUAUGUAAUAUUGGUAUAUCUGGUCCAUUUUAUACUGUAGUUAAAAGUAUGUAUCAAUCAAAUUUGAUUCACAUCAAAGUUGAUGAUAGGUUAACUAAAUCAUUUUCUCCCCAGAUGGGAGUGCGUCAAGGGGUCAACCUUAGCCCGAAUCUUUUCAACAUAUGUGUUAAUGAUAAGCCAUCAAUUUUUAAUAGUGAAGAUGACCAAUUGUGUCUUAAUUAUGUGAAUUUUAGUUGUUUGCUAUAUGGUGAUGAAUAAGCUAUCAAUGUUUUGUGAAAAUAAUGGUCUGAUUGUAAAUAUAAAGAAAACGAAUAUUAUGACUUUUAGUAAAUGUGGAAAGCUAUCUAAUGAAAUGUACUACUUAAAUGAUGUUGAAGUCAAGCAUGUAAAAAGGUAUAAAUAUCUUGGAAUUAUUUUUGCAUCAUCUGGAACUUUUAGCUACUGUAAGAUUUAUCUUUACAAAAGAGGGAUGAACGCAAGUUUUGAGAUAAGUAAGGUUUUUAAUCAAUUACAUCAAAAUGUUGACAGUAGUAUCAUUAAUCUUUUUGAUCAUACCAUUAAGUCUAUCAUCUUGUAUGUAAGUGAGAUAUGGGGAGCUCCAAACAUCACUAGCUCUACUGUAAGAAAAACAAACUAUAAUUUAUUGAAGUCUUUUGAAAAUAUGUAUUGUGAUAAAAUGCAAGUACACUUUUUAAAAUACGUUCUUGGUGUACACAAAAAUGCAACAAAUGAAGCAGUGUGUGGUGAAUUAGGAAGAUACCCGCUAUAUAUUGAUGUAAUAUGUAACAUAAUUUAAUUUUAUCAAAGACUUAUUUGCGAAAAUGUUAGCAAACUCCUCUCUGCUGCUUUUGUUGAAAGCAAAUUAUUUAAUGUUUAUAAUAAUAAAGCAAGCUGGGUUUCCUCUGUACAUCAUUGUUUUAUACAUUAAGAUAUUUCGGAGGCUGAUUUGUAUAAUAAGAACUUAACACAUACCGCUAAAUUUUAGAUGGUGAAUAUGUAUAAAACCAACUGGUGCUUAAAAAUCUCAGGCAAUAAAGGGAAGCUUAGAACACACUCAUGAUUCAAGCAAAGAUUUUGUAAAGAACAGUACUUUCGACAAAUAAAAGAUUAAGAUGCAAGAACCUUAAUUGCACAUAGAAACAGGAAGAUAUAAGAAACUCCCAGCAAAUCAAAGAUUUUGUAAGUGUUGCUCUUCUAAUCUAGUUGAAGACGAAAUUCAUUUUUCUAUAUGUUGUAAAACUUUCGAAAUUAGUAGAGAUUCUUUUUUUAAACAAAUUGAGAUUUUAAAUGAAAACUUUGUGUUGCUUAUAAAGAAAGAGCAAAAAUGUGUUUGGUCCAUGUCAUCUGAAGACAGCGAAGUUCUAAAAUUGUUUUCUCAAUAUCUACUCGAGAUUUAUGUAAAGCGAACUGCUCUGUUAGGUAACAAUUUGUCAGGCCAUCGAAUUGUUCAUUCUACAUGUAUUUUAUUGACGAUUAGGUUCAAUUUACUUACUACUUUAUUUCAUCACUUAUUUUCACGUUGUUAAGCUUGUGUUAUUUGUGUUCCCACCUAUACGAAUUUAGCUUUAGUAACUUUAAUGUUCUUAUUUAUACCAUACUUCAUUGAUGGUUUUUAGAUUACGUUACUUGCUUUAUGUUUUAUAUUUGUGAUUAUAUAUGGCAUACUGUAUGACCCUUGAUUGGCUGAAUAAAGUUAUUCUGUUC